AUUGAACGCUGGCGGCAGGCCUAACACAUGCAAGUCGAACGAGUGGCGGACGGGUGAGUAAUGUCUGGGAAACUGCCUGAUGGAGGGGGAUAACUACUGGAAACGGUAGCUAAUACCGCAUACCAUCGGAUGUGCCCAGAUGGGAUUAGCUAGUAGGUGGGGUAACGGCUCACCUAGGCGACGAUCCCUAGCUGGUCUGAGAGGAUGACCAGCAGCACUGGAACUGAGACACGGUCCAGACGCCUACGGGAGGCAGCAGGGGGGAAUAUUGCAAAAUGGGCGCAAGCCUGAGGCAGCCAUGCGGCGUGUAUGGAGAAGGCCUUCGGGUUGUAAAGUACUUUCAGCGAGGAGGCGUUACCCGCAGAAGAAGCACCGGCUAACUCCGUGCCAGCAGCCGCGGUAAUUC
rnacentral:rRNA from 1 species